GAUUACCUACCGCGUAAAUCCGUGGCCUAUCGAUCCUUUUAAUCUUGAUUGUUUCAGUUAAGAGGUGUCAGAAAAGUUUGCCCCGGGAUAACUGGCUUGCACAGCCUAGCGUCCAUAUCGACGUUGCUUAUUGAACCUUCCAUUUCGGCUCUGUUUUUUAGUAAAAAGCAGACAUUUUCAAGCGUUGGAUAAUUCACUCAAUAUUAGGGAACGUGAGCUUUGAACAGAUAAUCGUGACACAGGUUAGUUUUACCAUUCUGUAUUCUUAAUUUUGCGCAUUUAAUCCACAUUAAUACGUUACGAUCAGCGUGUUCACACAUUAAUUUGAAAGAGGAAAUAGACAGAUCAAUGAUAUUAGGUUACCAGAAUAGGCUUCAUAACACAACACUUCUCACUUCGAAUCUCCCCCUGACACAGUAAAAAUUUCUUGUUUCCCGGUUUCUCGACCCCCAUACCUAAUGGGUUUAAGAAGAGAAGGUUGCAGACAAUUUUUUCAUUUCUCACUAGCCAAAAUGUCACGCUUUGUUGACCGUUAAUAACUUUGCCCGUUUUUCACAUUUUGACCUAAUUUUUAUUUGACUAUUAGGAAUAGGCUGUCCCGUCAUUCCUGGAAAAUUUGGUGUUGAUACCAACAUUGGUGGCCGAGCUAUGAGCCGUAGAGUGAAAGUCACU
rnacentral:ncRNA from 1 species